rnacentral:rRNA from 1 species
GAUGAACGCUGGCGGCGUGCCUAACACAUGCAAGUCGAGCGGCAGCGCGGGGUGCUUGCACCCUGUCGGCGAGCGGCGGACGGCUGAGUAACGCAUGGGAACGUGCCCCAAAGUGAGGAAUAACUGCCCGAAAGGGUAGCUAAUACCGCAUAUUAUCUUCGGAUCAAAGGAUUUAUCCGCUUUGGGAGCGGCUCGCGUCGGAUUAGGUAGUUGGUGAGGUAAUGGCUCACCAAGCCGACGAUCCGUAGCUGGUCUGAGAGGAUGACCAGCCAGACUGGAACUGAGACACGGUCCAGACUCCUACGGGAGGCAGCAGUGAGGAAUCUUCCACAAUGGGCGAAAGCCUGAUGGAGCAACGCCGCGUGCAGGACGAAGGCCUUCGGGUUGUAAACUGCUUUUAUAAGUGAGGAAUAUGACGGUAACUUAUGAAUAAGGAUCGGCUAACUACGUG